rnacentral:rRNA from 1 species
UACGAAGGGGGCUAGCGUUGUUCGGAUUUACUGGGCGUAAAGCGCACGUAGGCGGACUAUUAAGUCAGGGGUGAAAUCCCGGGGCUCAACCCCGGAACUGCCUUUGAUACUGGUAGUCUUGAGUUCGAGAGAGGUGAGUGGAAUUCCGAGUGUAGAGGUGAAAUUCGUAGAUAUUCGGAAGAACACCAGUGGCGAAGGCGACUCACUGGACAUGUAUUGACGCUGAGGUGCGAAAGCGUGGGGAGCAAACAGG